rnacentral:rRNA from 1 species
UACGAAGGGUGCAAGCGUUGUUCGGAAUUACUGGGCGUAAAGCGCGCGUAGGCGGCUUAAUAAGUUGGGAGUGAAAUCCCCAGGGCUCAACCCCUGGAACUGCCUUUAAUACUGGGGUAUCUCGAGUCCGAGAGAGGUGAGUGGAAUUCCGAGUGUAGAGGUGAAAUUCGUAGAUAUUCGCAAGAACACCAGUGGCGAAGGCGCUCACUGGCCCGAUACUGACGCUGAGGUGCGAAAGCGUGGGGAGCAACAGG